AUGAUAGUGAGUUUGAUAAAGGAUCUAAAAGUCAGUGUUUAUUAUUUGUUUUUAUUUUUUAUUUAAUCAGGUAAAUUGUUAUUAAUGAAUAUAAUAUUGUCUAUGAUAUACAUCAAGUAAAAUUUUAAAGUAAUACAUGAGUACAUUAUUAGUUUGGGUGAAUUUUUAUAAAUGGCUAAACAUCCAGUAGUAACUGGUAUUUCUCCUAAAGAAGGUCCUCCUGGAACUAGAGUUACAAUUAGAGGAGAAUUUUUGGGAAGUGGUCCAAAUGAUUUAAUAGGAUUAAAAAUAUGUGACUGCGAGUGUCUACUAUCAGCCGAAUGGAAAUCUCCUAAUAAAAUAAUUGCACGUUCAGGUCCAGGAAAAGGACGUGGUGAUAUAAUUGUUUCCACAAAGUCGGGUGGAGUAGGUACUAGUACAGUACAGUUUCGGGGUUACCAUGAAACAAUUGGACCUCUAAAAGAAAGUGCAGUUUGGGUAGAAGAAGCACCUCUUAACUGGGGUAGACAAAAUAGUUCAACGACUAUUUUUCAACUCGAUGAUCCACUAGGCUUAUCAGUUGAAGGAGAUGAAAAAUUUCCUGAAAAUGAACUCACAGAACUAUUUCCUGAUGGAUCAGGAGAUCUUUUAUCAGAAAAUUUUGAACCUGCUUGGUUUCUACUGGAAAAUCAUCAUGGAACAUCGUUUGAUGAUUUAAGAGUAGGGUUAUCUUAUUUAAAGCGAAAAGUAGACUCGCAGAAUGAGGGACAAUUGACAUUUUUAAAAGAUAAUGUUGGAUCUGUGAUGGAACAGUUAGAUACUUUGUUUUCCUUGAAGCAGAAUUAUGAAGCUGAUUUUGAUAAAAAUAAUACUACAUUAUUAAAAGUAGAAGAAGCCAUAAAUCAAUCAUUAAAAGAAGCCACUAAUUUAUUUCAUGGUGUCUUAACUCGAAGAGAAAAAGCUGAAGCAACAAGAAAUGCUUUAGCAGUAAUGACUAGAUAUAAGUUUUUAUUCCAAUUGCCUAUUAAUAUUGAUAGAAAUAUUAAAAAUGAAGAUGUUGAUGUUAUAAUAAAUGAUUAUACCAGAGCAUUAAAUUUAUUUGGAAAAACUGAAGUAUCUGUUUUUAAAAAAAUAUUGGAAGAAGUUGAAAUUAAAAUUAAAAAUUUAAGAAUUAAUUUGAAACAUAAACUUCAUGAAAUGCCAACUACAUUGAAACAACAAAAAAAAUUAAUCAGAAACUUGGUCGCUUUGAAUGAUAAUGGUGAUCCCGGUUGGGAAGCAAUUACUUAUAUGAAGCAGUUUAUUAUAGAUAAAAUUAAAGCAUGUUAUCAACAAUUUAUAUCUGAUGAACAGAAUAAUGAUACUCCUAAUAAGGGAAAUAGACAUCCUCAAAACAAGCAUAAAAGAAAUAUCAGCUUAUCUCAACAAAUUGAACACCAUCAUAGCGAACCAAAAAAAAUACAGUGCAUUGAUGAAAUUGCAUCUAUAAUUUCGGACUACUUUCCUGAUUUAUGGAAAUUGGGUCAAAGUUAUUUUGUUGGAGAUUUAGCAGUAAAACCAGAUUGCAACCAUGAAAAAGAUUUUAAGGAAAUGGUUUUAGAUGUAAUUAUAACAGUUUCCGAUAUAUAUAGAACAAUUAUGCUACCAACUAGUACUACUAAUUUAUUUUCUCCUGUACCUAUUAUAUGGUUGCCACAUUGUUUGAAACAAAUUAGAUCAGUAUUUACAGUUUUAAUGGCUUUAGACCUCCCUAAUGAAGCUUUGAACAAAAUAUCAAGCAUUAUUUUUGAUUUGAGAGUACAUUGCUUAAAUAUACUUUUUAAGCAAGCUUCUGAAAAAAUUAUCAAAUUAAAAACUUCUGAAACGUGGAAACUAGAUUUUUAUUCAAAACAAGGAACAAUUUCACAAUUACCUAGUGAAUUUUAUAAUAUUUUGAUAGAAACCAUGAAAUCUGCUAAAGAAUAUGUAGUCUGUGAUGAACGUAAAGAAACUGUUCUUGGAGAUAAUGAAACUGCAAAAAAUGAACUACAACUGUUGGUUCAUAAGUGUUUCUGGAAUUUUUCACAAGUGUUAGAGCAAGUUGGUAUAAAUGGUGAAAACAACUGUUCUUCCACAACGGUUAUGUCUCUAGGUGGAUCCUCAAUAUCAGGUUUUCGAAUUCAAAAUGAAAUGGCAUGGGAGCAAAAGCUAUUAGUAACAAUUAGUAACAGUCAAUACACUAGAAAUACAUUGUUACCUAAAUUAAAAACUGAAUUUGAAGCCAAUGGUUUUCCAACAAUUGAAAGUGUAGUUUCUCGAGCAGUAGAACUUUUAGAGAAUACUGAAAAUAAACUUUUGGAUACUUAUAUUGAAACAAAAAGUGACCCUCUAGUUGGUACUAUUGAACCAUCAAUGUAUGUUGGUAGUUUUGAAUGGGACUCUCCAUCAUUAUUAAAGCCAACAAGUGUGCGUCCCUAUGCUAAAGAAAUAAUUACAAACUUAAUAGCAUUACAUACUGAAGUUCAGACAAUCAUACCAGAUUUAAUGUAUGCUGUAUUAUCAGCCAUUGUGGUAACUGUGUCAGAAGAAAUGUCCAGGCUUAUGAAUUGUAUUACUCAUUUUAAUGAUAAUGGAGCAAUGCAGGCUAGGUUGGACUUAAUGGCUUUAACAUUUACACUAUCAAACUAUUUCACACCUAACUCAAAUUCAUUACAGAGUUGUACAAUUUCUUCUACACGAACAGUAUCAGAUUCUUCAGAUUCGAACGGUGUUAUAUCAGGCCAUAGUUUAUUCCACCCAUUCUUUAGGUUUGGUACAGUCAGAUCAGACGGUGACCGAUGACGGAUAAUAGAAUUUGACGGGAUUUUUUUAGUGACGCAAUGGAUGCAAUACCACCAUUAAAGUUGUUAGAAGAUGAAAGUUAUGUUAACAAAUGCCUAGAACAGUUUAAAUCUCAAAUGCGUCUACAAAUUAUGUGUUUUUUAAUGCCUUGCCAUCUCUAUCAAGAAACAAGUAUAAUGUAACAAGAGUUAUGCAUUUACAUUAUAUUUUUAUAUAUUUUAAUGCUUAUUUUAUGAAUAUAUUUAUUAUUAAUCUA